AGAGAGAAGGACUCAUUCUCUCGGAUCGUGUGCUUCGUCAAUAACUCCUUCAAACCUGAUGACCUAGAUUUUGUCUACUCCACUCUCAAAUGGAUCUCUAUCAUCGACCUGUGAGAUUUCUUCAAUUCUCUUUACUCUUAAUAUUUUUUUUAGUCUUAUCAAUUUGUAUUCGAUAUUGGGUCUCUCUUUUCUUCUUUUAUUUUUUUUUUCUCAUUUUAACUCUAAUUUUUUGGGUAUUUUUAGCUUUUUCAGUACCAUUUCAAUUCUGGAGCAAUAAUUUGCUGGCUCUGAAUUGUGGAUUAUUAGAUGCCCAUUUGAUCGAUGAUUGAGUUAAGAAAUGAAUUGCUGACGGUGAAUAUUGGGGUUUAAGGUAAAGUGAGACUACAUAAAGAGCUGUUCUUCACUUAUGGUUUGGCCCUUUUCCUUUCUGUUUCAUUUUUCAUAUAAAAAGCUAGUUUUGCUUAUAUUUUGUCCUACCUAACCAUGUGAGUUGUUUGGGGUAUUUGGAUGACAUUUAUCUAUGGAACUGUGGUAAUUUCACUAGGAAAAAAUGCUUUAUUUAUUUAUUUUUUUUUAAAGUUAAAUUAAUUAAGCAAUAGUGAUAGAAGACCUUUAGGGGUUGAUUUGUGAAAUGCAAUAGAUAAUAAACUUGUUUAUCUGUCUUGAUAUUGAGAAAUGGAGGAAUUUCUAAUUAUUUACUGAAAUGCUAACUGUAAAUUGUGCCUUAGCUUGAGUCAAGGAGCAGGGAAAGUUGCGUGGAAGUAGAGGGAUGACUAUUGCAGUUGUGAAAAUUUUGUAGCCAUACCAUUCAUUCGCUUUGUUUUGAUGGGUUAGUUUUGAAACUAUCCUAAUGGGAUUGAACUGAAAACCUUGUGAAACAUACCAUUCAAUAGCUUUGUUUUGUGGGUUAAAUUUGAAACUAUCCUAAUUGGAAUGAACUAAGUUCCUUAAUAAAAAUCUACCCCAUUUAUAAGUUAUGACUAAGAACCUACUCCUAUUCCAGUGGUAUAAACCAGAGACUAAUCCUUUAUUGAUGGGUUUAUUAAAUAAGUUUAAUUAUUUUUAAAGUAAUAUCUAAUUUUAAUAACUCAGCUUAUCAAUAUGAAUAAUUUAUUCUUUGUUUCCUUUUCAGCCUCAUUUAUUCUUGAGCUGUUAUAUGCUACUCCUUGGAAACCCCAACUAUUAAAAAUACACAAGGGUUUAAAAGCAGAGAAAAUGAAAAAGCCUUGUAGUUAAUUUGGAAUCAUUAUCAUGUUAUUUGGGGUUUCCAAGGAUUAGCAAGUAACAGCUUAAGAAUAAAUAAGAAGAAUUAGUCUGACAGAUUUUGAUUAUGGUUUUAUUUCUUCAUAAAUUUGGCUGUUUUUACUUGUUUCUUCUUUUUCCCCCCUUACCAGAGAGAUGCAAAUAGUGCACUGGAGCAAAAAUAGAUAAGAGGGAGAGAUAAUCAAGUUAUCUUUGUGUUUAUAAAAUUUUGUUAAGAGAAAAGACAAUGUAGUCCAAGGAUGUUGAGUACUUUUAAUCAGUUAUUCAAAAUAUUGCUAGUUUUAGCUAUUUCAUGUCUUGUUAUUUAAUUGUAGUUGUUCAAGAAUUAAAACAUUGAACAACAUUUUAAAGUCUCAUGUGGUCAAUUUUGAUUUUAGCUUUGAUUUUAUCACUUUUAAAGACAUGACAAGCAUGAGUGGAAGGUAGAGUUAAUUGACAAUAAUUUUCUGCCUCAUGAAGCAAGAUUAUAAAAGGGAUACCUCUUAGUGUUUAUGAAUCACAGGACAAACAGGUGUGGUUACCCUCAAACCAUGGCAAAUACACCACUCAGUCAGCCUAUAAAUUGCUAGCAAGGAAUGACAGAAAUUCGAUGCCAAGCUGCUCAUUAGGGGAAAGGAGUACACAGUUAUGGAAGGGGAUGUGGUAUCUACAGGCUCCUUACAAGGUGAAGCACCUGAUUUAGAGAGCAGUUGGUGAGGCUUUACCAACUCUGCAUAACCUAUUGUGUAGAGGUGUGGUUAUGUAUGCUUGCUGUCCGAAUUGUAAAUCUGAUGGUGAGGAUACUAUCCAUGCUCUAUGGAGCUGUCAAAGAUUGUUUGUAAUAUGGGAACUUGAUGAUGAGCUCAAGAAGCUUUUAAGUAAAAAAUUUAUUCUCUUUGCAAAUUUUUUGGGCAGUGGUGUUGAUGACGAAAGAUCGAAUUGAUGUAGACCUUCUAGCAACAAUUUUGUGGUUAAUCCGGGAUAGAAGAAAUGUUGUAAGGCUGGGUGAAGCUGUCAUGGAAUACCAACUGAUCUGAGCUAAGGCUGAGUUGUUGCAGUUGGAUUUCAAAUUAGCUCAGGUGUUGGAUCGGAGGGGAGGUUCAGAAAGCUUGAGAGCUGCUAGGUGGAUCCCUCCUAUCUUCCCACAUUAUAAGAUUAAUUUUGAUGGGGCUGUCUUCUCUGAACAGGGGGCUGCUGGACUAGGAGUUGUGAUUAGAGAUUGCUGUGGUAGAGUGAUAGCAGCUAUGGCUAAGCAUAUCCCAGUUCCCAUAUGUGCAGCCUUGCCAAAGAGCUUUGACGUUUGCAAGGGAGCUGAACAUUUCUGAUUUGGUGUCUGAAGGCGAUGCUGAGAUAAUUAUCAAAUCGUUGUUGGCCAGGGAUGUCUCUCAUCCAGAGUAUGGCCAUGUUAUCCAAGAUGUUUUGUUUAUUGCUUCUGGUUUUCGGGUCUGUAACUUUACCCAUGUCAAACGCUACUCCGUUGCCCAUUUUCUUGCCAAACGUGCUAAGUUAGGCAAUGAGCUACAAGUUUGGUUUGAGUCUAUUCCUGAUGAUAUAGCUUCUCCAUUUUAGA